rnacentral:lncRNA from 1 species
ACCUACAUACCAUAGUGUCUCCACACCAUUUGAUUAUGAGGACAACCAACGCAUAUGGCAUACAAUGAUCUACACUUGAUAUCGCUAUUGUCCUAGUAAUAGUAUAUCAUUUGAUCGCGAACCAGUUUAAAGACUACGUGAUAAAUUCUCUUUUAUCGAUCAAAGUAGUCCUAAGGACUUCAUCACAAUACAAGAGUUCGUUAGAAGAUGUAACAUUGUGA